AACUGGAGCCACUUUUCAGCUGCCGCUGGCUCCCAUCUCAGCGCUUUUGCACCGAGAGUCGGUGUUUUUGCACGCUUCUCCCAGGUCAUCCAAUCAAAAGCCUCUGCUCCACCGGGCCAACCCACAGAGGUCCAGGGAUCAAAGGGGGCCCGAGGAUCCUGAAGGUGAAGCCCUGCCCGAGGCUCCACGGCUCCCCCAGGAAGGCCUUUGUGAUGAUUAUGAAGCCUGGGCAGGCACCCAAUCCCAAGCUGGGCCCUAUCACCCACCUCCUCCUUCCCUGGAAGCGGCCAGCGAUCCCCCUGCGGCCUUGGCAAGAGACCUUUAAAGAUGCAGGUGGAACCCGGAGAAAGCCACGCAGAGAAGCCGGGCCAGGUGAGAAUGUUUUCAUCGCUCCUCCUGCCAGCUGAUAGCAUGCGGGUAAAGAAUGGGAG
rnacentral:lncRNA from 1 species